rnacentral:tRNA from 1 species
GCCGGAAUAGCUCAGUUGGUAGAGCAGGGGACUGAAAAUCCUCGUGUC